rnacentral:lncRNA from 1 species
AUGAACUUGUGCAUCGCUGUGCUCCUGCUCCUUCAUUCCUUGACGGGGAAGGCAGAGGUCCAAGAUGACAUGGAGGAGAUCGCACAGGAUUUAUAUGACUACAUGGCACAUUUAAGCAAUUACUAUUAUUCCACAGAAGAUUAUUACUAUGACAACAUCACGGCAACCCCUGCCACAUACAUGUAUGAGUUGGAUACAUAUGAGACAAGCACCACUGGAGAGGUGGACUGGGAGAAGUGGUUUCCAGAAGAGAAUGCCACCACCAUGAUUUCAAGAUUACCAGACACAAAUGCUCCAGGGGAUUCCAGGGAUGUUGACAACAGUCAGGAUUCCCAGCAAUCAUUGGGACCAUCCCUGCAGGGCCACCUCACCCUCAUCAUCCUCCUCAGCUUCCUGAGUCUCCUGCUAUGACCCCCAGACUCCUCUUCCAAAGGUACUCUGGGAUUUCAACACUCACUCAAAGUGUGUCCUUUAACCCAGGGAAAUCAAAUUCUUUCUGAAGCAGCAACUUUCCAAAACAAUGGAAUGAUAACAAGCCCUUCCAGGCAUCCAGAUGCAAUGCUAGAGAACUCACCAGCAGCUCUGAUGCCACUAAUGGCCUGGAGAGGCUUUCCAGGGCAUUUUCCCAAUGACCUCCUGGCGUUCAGUGGGACCUUCACAGGUGUGAGCAACCAGACACCUCCCACUGCUCAUCCACUCAAACAUCCUGUUCCAUAAAACCCUGGAAUGGUUUGGGUUGGGAUGAACCUCACAGACCAGCUGGUUCCUGCCCGGGUUCCUCCGAAGCUCCAUCCCAUCUGGCCAACCUUCUUCUACAGAUGGAACUCUCCAACAUCACAGGAAUAUGCCGACCCCCGUCCUGCCACGCUCUGGAACCUGCUUACCUUUUUCCCUCAUUCCAGACACGGUGGCUGGGGCGGUGAGCAGGACACUGUCAGGUGUUGACAAUGACAUCCUCUCCACGAGGCGUCGUCUCUGUUCUGGAACUGCGAGGUUUUGUGUCUGAGGUUUUGGUGGAGGGACGGUGCCGCCCCACGGUGCGAGCAUGGACAGCUCUGCAAUGCUUCAGUCCCUUCUUGUUUCCUCAGACUCUGCUGUAAAUAACAACCUCUGUCAAUAAAAUCCCCAACACCUGGUGCA